rnacentral:lncRNA from 1 species
UCAUUUACACACCCAACCCAAACCCUAAACUCCUCUCCUCACUCUCUCCUCUCUACUGCCGUAAGGCGUCCACGACGGCGCCGCCCGCCGGAAUUCGCCACCGAUGGAGAAGCACCACCAACCAACCUUGAAUUAUCAUCUUAUACUCUCCCCAACCUCCUCUUUCCAUAUCUUCAAACCAAAUCCUCUCAUCAAACUCCACGAAUUUUAGAUCUAGGAAACCCUAGCCACCAUCUUUUUGUCCAAAUUCGUGAAGCUCCAGUCAUCUCCGCCCAAUGACAUAUAGAUCAAUAGAAAGAGCUCUACGAGAUGUAUAUUUUCAUGUCAAUUUCCAUCCCAAAACUCCAACAGAUGCCCGACGUUGCUGUCCGCCGUCGCCGCUGCCUGCUACGACCACCACUGCCUCAGACCUCCGCCACACCACUGCUCCUCUUUUCUUUAGCCUAGUUCGGACCCAAGAAUACUCGUUUUAUUUUAGUAUGACAUCGAUUUCAUUGAGCUUAGUGUCUACUAAAAUAGAAUGAGUGUUCUACGGUUGGACAACCAUUACUCUAGGUCCUCGGCAUCUGUCUUGUUGCUCGAUUUGACAUUGAAUCCCUCCUUAUGGUAAAACAUCAAUUUACUUUUCCUUUUUUUAUCUUUACUGAUUCUGUGUGCUUUUGUAAUUAGUAUUAGUUUUAAGGUUUAAUUUCUAUUCUUGUUAUUUUUAUUUGUGUGAAAAUGAGCUAGGGUAAUAGCGGUUUUCAAUUACAUGUUACUUUAUAAAUGUUAAUUUCAGUUCUUCGACCUACCUGGUCGAGUAUUUUGCUAUUGUCUGUUAGUUAUGAUUUUUGGUUCUUCGACCUAGUCGAUCGACUAUUUUUUGUGAAAUUGUUGAGUUUGAAUUUUCAGUUUUCCGACCUAGCCGGUCGACAGUUAAGUGUUUUAUACUAGUUUCAUGAAAAAAAAGAUUAGUUGAAUCAUUAACUUAGUUAGUCGUUUUGUUUAAUUGUUGAUAAUUUUUGUCUGAUAAUUUACUAAUGCACAUCCAAGUUGUAUUUUAUUCUGUGUUAAUUUGCAUAAAAUCACAUUACUUUAAUUCAGUUUGUUUGGAUGCUCAAUCUGGUUACAAUCAAAGUUUUAUUAUUGCUUUGUCUAUUUGUGAUUGGAUUAGAUUUUGUUAUUUAAGUUUUGUCGAUAAAAGCUGAAUCAAAAUAUGGUACAUAGUUGGUAGUUGUUACUAUUUGAAGCAUGCUAGAAAAAUGACUACUUUACUUUGUGUCUAAACUUGAUGAAAAAGAAAUGUCCUUUCUCCUAUUUGGAUAGUCUUUUUGACUGUAUUUAGUGAGAAAAAGUAAGUCCUUUGAACAGAUUUUUGGUAAACUGAAAUUUGUCCAAAAGUGCUUGCUUUUCCUACUUAAAGGGGUCUCCUCUCACUCUAUACAUAAUCUAUCACACAACUGCCAUAUUUUUUUUUACUCUCUAAAAAACACAACUUUGAAAGUAAAAAUCAACAGCUGAAACACCCUUUACUAAGAUGAAAUUGUUGUUCCAACACGAAUUGGUUGUUUGUUUUGUUGUUGUUCCACUGCUGUUUUCUGCUGCUUUUGUUCUUGAGCUUCCAUUCUUCAUUGUUAUAUUUAUUAUUCUGCAAUACAGGAAACUCUUGAACCUUUUGUACUGCAGAAUUUUCUAAGCAAUAGCUGAAGAUUUGAACCUGUUAGAUUGCUAGAAUAGAGUUGGAUUCAUUCUAUGAGUUUGCUUAAGCGCUUUAACGUUUUUAUGUAUGGCUCAAGCAUGUGAAUAUGUAAUUGAUAGCUAGAAGUACUAUUCUUCCCUAAAUGAAAUCGAAGCACUCUGUCUCGUCUAGUCAUAGAAAAGAUAAUGGACUAGCCAAUAUAUUUUAGGCAAAGUUUUAUAUUGUCUUUUUAAGCAUACACUAUUGUUAAGUAUUCUUAUAAUCAAAGUUCUAGUUAAUUUGGUUAGUUUAAGCAUGAUAUAAGAAGAGAUGUUUGAGGGUUGAUAUGUUUUGGCAUAGUUAAUGAAAUUCGACUUUCCGGUGUUGGAGUGAACUAAUUUGGUCUCCAAUUUUAAUUAACUUCUAUAGGUUAAUCAAGUAUACAAUCUUAGCGAGUAAAUAUGCAUUUUCUCUUUUAGCAGGUUAGUUGGGUAGUAAUUAUUUAUUAAGUAAAAUGAGAUCUAUCCAUGCAUUUAAUUUAUU